GUGGGGAAUCUUAGACAAUGGGGGAAACCCUGAUCUAGCCAUGCCGCGUGAGCGAUGAAGGCCUUAGGGUUGUAAAGCUCUUUCAGCUGGGAAGAUAAUGACGGUACCAGCAGAAGAAGCCCCGGCUAACUCCGUGCCAGCAGCCGCGGUAAUACGGAGGGGGCUAGCGUUGUUCGGAAUUACUGGGCGUAAAGCGCGCGUAGGCGGACCAGAAAGUUGGAGGUGAAAUCCCAGGGCUCAACCUUGGAACUGCCUUCAAAACUCCUGGUCUGGAGUUCGAGAGAGGUGAGUGGAAUUCCGAGUGUAGCGGUGAAAUGCGUAGAUAUUGGGAAGAACACCGGUGGCGAAGGCGACUUGCUGGGCAGCAACUGACGCUGAGGCGCGAAAGCCAGGGGAGCAAACGGGAUUAGAAACCCUUGUAGUCC
rnacentral:rRNA from 1 species